rnacentral:rRNA from 1 species
GGGGAAUAUUGCACAAUGGGCGCAAGCCUGAUGCAGCGACGCCGCGUGCGGGAUGACGGCCUUCGGGUUGUAAACCGCUUUUGUUGGGGAGCAAGCCUUCGGGUGAGUGUACCCUUCGAAUAAGCACCGGCUAACUACGUGCCAGCAGCCGCGGUAAUACGUAGGGUGCAAGCGUUAUCCGGAAUUAUUGGGCGUAAAGAGCUCGUAGGCGGUUCGUCGCGUCCGGUGUGAAAGUCCAUCGCUUAACGGUGGAUCUGCGCCGGGUACGGGCGGGCUGGAGUGCGGUAGGGGAGACUGGAAUUCCCGGUGUAACGGUGGAAUGUGUAGAUAUCGGGAAGAACACCAAUGGCGAAGGCAGGUCUCUGGGCCGUUACUGACGCUGAGGAGCGAAAGCGUGGGGAGCGAACAGGAUUAGAUACCCUGGUAGUCCACGCCGUAAACGGUGGAUGCUGGAUGUGGGGCCCAUUCCACGGGUUCCGUGUCGGAGCUAACGCGUUAAGCAUCCCGCCUGGGGAGUACGGCCGCAAGGCUAAAACUCAAAGAAAUUGACGGGGGCCCGCACAAGCGGCGGAGCAUGCGGAUUAAUUCGAUGCAACGCGAAGAACCUUACCUGGGCUUGACAUGUUCCCGACAGCCCCAGAGAUGGGGCCUCCCUUCG